UUGGAGGGCAAGUCUGGUGCCAGCAGCCGCGGUAAUUCCAGCUCCAAUAGCGUAUUUAAAGUUGUUGCAGUUAAAAAGCUCGUAGUUGAAUUUCGGGAAUCAAUAUUCGGGUCAUGCCGGUGGGUAUGCACUGUUAAUCAUUGAUUUUCUCACCUUCUAAAGAACCGUAAUGCCAUUAAUUUGGUGUUACGGGGAAUUAGGACUGUUACCUUGAAAAAAUUAGAGUGUUUAAAGCAGGCUCACGCUUGAAUACAUUAGCAUGGAAUAAUGAAAUAGGACAUCCGAUUCUAUUUUGUUGGUUUCUAGGAUCGAUGUAAUGAUUAAUAGGGAUAGUUGGGGGCAUUAGUAUUCAAUUGUCAGAGGUGAAAUUCUUGGAUUUAUUGAAGACUAACUACUGCGAAAGCAUUUGCCAAGGAUGUUUUCAUUAAUCAAGAACGAAAGUUAGGGGAUCGAAGACGAUCAGAUACCGUCGUAGUCUUAACCAUAAACUAUGCCGACUAGGGAUCGGAUGAUGUUAAUUUUUUAAUGACUCAUUCGGCGCCUUACGGGAAAC
rnacentral:rRNA from 1 species